GGAAUAACACUGAGAAAUAAGCAAAAAAUAAAUUAUAUCCUAAUAUCUAUAUAGGAAUUGGAUGUGUGCCACUAACACAAUACUCAGAUGGGCGCUGAAAUGACACUCACUCACUAGGGGAGUUGAGCAUUUGCUGACAGAUGUAGUGCAGCGCAGUCACAGAGGGCGGGUUCAGUGACGUCAAAAAGCUCUUCUAUCAGGCACGGCACGAGCUCCGGUGCUGCAGAUCCGUGGUCUGCUAUAGUACCAGAGAAGAAGGGGACUAGAGGAGUACGUCAGAAAUCAUGGCAAUGGCUACAGCAGAGGCGGAGACGCGUCAGAGGCUGCUGCGCACAGUGAAGAAGGAGGUGGGUGCUGUCGUCCCAAAGAUAAUUAAUUCUGUGAACUAACAUUCAGAUGUGAUGCCUGACCUGUUCACAAGCUGGUGGUAAUUGCCAGCUUGGAGUCUGUACGCUCUUCUUCUCUGUGCCAUAUUUACAGUGCACUGUCUGUGUGUCAGUAAAAAC